rnacentral:lncRNA from 1 species
AUCGACACUACCUAGAUUCGAUCAGGAACAUAAUACGACUCGUCACAUCAUUCGAAUCAAGCUCGUAUCAGUUGGUAUCAGAGCUAGUUAAUUUAGGUACGUAAAUUGUAGUUUCAAAAAAAAAUUCGAAAAAAAAUCAAAAAAUAUUGAAAAGAAAAAAAAUUGAAAAAAAAUUGCAUACGGUCUAGGUGCGGACGAAAAGACGUGAAAGAUCCGUAAAAAAAAAAGAGUCUGGAGACACUUCAAUAGAAAUUUUUCCAAAAUCACAUUCUACAUUCCUUAAUAUCCC